rnacentral:rRNA from 1 species
AACGAACGCUGGCGGCAUGCCUAACACAUGCAAGUCGAACGAGACCUUCGGGUCUAGUGGCGCACGGGUGCGUAACGCGUGGGAACCUUCCCUUAGGUUCGGAAUAACUCCCCGAAAGGGGUGCUAAUACCGGAUAAUGUCUUCGGACCAAAGAUUUAUCGCCUUUGGAUGGGCCCGCGUUGGAUUAGCUAGUUGGUAGGGUAAAAGCCUACCAAGGCGACGAUCCAUAGCUGGUCUGAGAGGAUGAUCAGCCACACUGGGACUGAGACACGGCCCAGACUCCUACGGGAGGCAGCAGUGGGGAAUAUUGGACGAUGGGCGAAAGCCUGAUCCAGCAAUGCCGCGUGAGUGAUGAAGGCCUGAGGGUUGUAAAGCUCUUUUAACCGGGAUGAUAAUGACAGUACCGGGAGAAUAAGCGCCGGCUAACUCCGCG